CGUAUAUUAAAGUUGUUGCAGUUAAAAAGCUCGUAGUUGGAUUUGUGGCUGUCGCUGUCUUUUCCUCUCUUUGAGGGGUAUUGGAUUAGCGUCGCCAUCCUUGGGUGGAACUUGUGUGGCAUUAGGUUGUCGUGCAGGGGAUGCCCAUCGUUUACUGUGAAAAAAUUAGAGUGUUCAAAGCAGGCUUAUGCCGUUGAAUAUAUUAGCAUGGAAUAAUAAGAUAGGACCUUGGUACUAUUUUGUUGGUUUGCGCACCAAGGUAAUGAUUAAUAGGGUCAGUUGGGGG
rnacentral:rRNA from 1 species